ensembl:lncRNA
UGAAGCAAUUGGCUGGAAACCAAGUUGCCAAAGGUUCCCAGAACGGACCCAAUUGCAGACAGUUCGGGUAAAGGACAAUUUAUUAACGCAAAAGGCAAGGAACACCGAGGACACAGGUGAUGCGGUUAACACAGGGAAAACCGGGAACACAGGACACAACUCACCACGAACUACAAUGAUCCGACAAGGAACAAAGGAAAGACAAGGGCUUAAAUACCAAACACACACAGGGCACGCAACGAGUAACAGCUGAAACACAUUAGGGGAGGGAGCAGUAAUCACACAGGAGGGAAACCUGACCGGACAAGGGGAGAAACAAGACAGAGAUACCAAAGUCUCCCGUCUACCUUGAAAGAGGAGAUGGAGGAGGGGGGUCCUACUUCUAAAAGCACCAUGUCUAGGGAACAUGGCCCCCAGAGCGAAGCUGAAAGCCCCGAGCAGCAGGACAGAGCAGACUCCCCUGAACCCAGCUGUGUCUCCAUGAAGAGCGACUGGUCUAUGGAUCCACCUGUCAUGUUUAAAGAUGGCCACCCCUGCAGGAAGGAAAGAAGACACCAUCAGGAGAGAGCAGACUCCCCUGGACCCAGCUGUGCCUCAGUGAAGAGAGACCAGUCUAUGGAUCCACUUCUUAAAUUUGACGAUUGAAAUCAGUCUACUGAGAAAAGAAGAGUCCAGCAUGUGAGAGCAGACUCCCCUG